rnacentral:tRNA from 1 species
UCCUUCGUAGUUUUCGGGAACUACUUUACGCGUGUUCCAAGCCUUGUAAGCCGGGGGUCGCGGGUUCGAAUCCCGCCGGCGGCU